rnacentral:lncRNA from 1 species
CCUUUAUUUGCAAUUUAUAAUUGUUUUCCACAGUUGGCUAUUUUAAAAGUUGUUUUGUCCAAAGUGUUCAUUUUUUAGUUGAUAUAUUGCAAAGUGUUCAUUUUUUAGUUGAGAAAUUGUGCCCCAGGCUACAGAGUCUAAAUGUCUUGCCUAAGGAUAUGUAUAAUUAGAGGCUUAAUUAGGAACAAGAAUUAGAGGAUUUUAUCUGUUAAUCCAGUGGUCUCUUUCCUAUAUAACUCAGCCUGUAUUUUAAAUAAUUAUGUUGUUUUACUGACUUAUUUAGGUUAUUUCCUCCAAUCUCUUUUUAUUUUUGAAUAUAAGGAAAUUGCUUUUGUUCACAGAGAGGAAAUGUCUGGUAACACUCUCUGUUUAAGCAUUUCGUUGUAUACAUGACUACUAAAGAAAAAAAUCUUGUCUAUUUUUGAAUUUCUAACAUAUCCAUUGUCUCUGGGCCUGCAUAUGCAUAAAGCAAUGGGUGCUCAUUCCUAUCUCUUUCUUUGAAAGAAGAAACUUUCAUGCCUCUCAAAGGGAAGGUGUGUUUCAUUUGCAGUAGGGCGUUACUCUUUAUAAAGAAUCAGUCUCUGAAGAUUCUAUGUUAUAACAAUGUAGAUUCAAUCUUAAAAUUUCUUUUCUAAUAGUAUACUUUGAAAACUCAGCCAUCCAUCUGAUAAUUUUGAAUCUUUACAUUGAUUUAGAAAACCCUUUUUUUAGACAAUCUUUUAGUUGUAUAUUUAAUAUGCAAUCAGACUUCAUUUGUGUUUUUCUACCUCUACUCAGGCUUUUCUGUUCACAACAUGAGAAUUGGUCAAAUUAUAAUAUUUUCAAUGUAUUGCCUAUGUAGCCUUGGGAAAAGGAGACCAGAAGAAUGAAUGAAAGAAAAGAACCUCCUCUCCUCCAUCCCUUGCUCACAACACAAAUCUGAGUUUCAGAAUCAAGUUUAUUUACUUAUGGUCCCAUUUAACGUGGCCAGUACACAACCACAUCACACAAUUGGCACAACAUUGAAAGAAAUGCCCAGAGUUAACCUGUGUUAAGAUUAUAGAUAUUUAAUUCUAAAACAAAUUGUACACAAUGCUGGCAAGCAAGAACACGUCAGAAUUUUUUAACACAUCAUUUCUAGUAAAAUGUUUAUCUUACAUUAAGACUCAAAUGUCUGAAAUACUCAGAAAUAUGCAUAGAUUUCUUUUCUUUCAUUAGUCCAUUUCAGAAGUUUUUAACCACAGAGGCACAUCUCAGACUGAUUUACUCAGAUCCUGUAUAGGUGUGUUACUGUAUCAAACAGAGGGUCGGGCUGCUGUUUCUUGUGGCCCAAUAAUGAGAUGCAGAUGAACUGGGGAGGAAGACAGUUUUUAUUUCUGUAACUGGUUACAGGGAGAAGGCCUGGAAAUUAUCACGAGACCAACUCAAAAUUACAAAGUUUUCCAGAGCUUAGAUACCUUCUAAGCUAUGUGUCUACAUGUAAGUGUGCAUUCAUCUGAAGAUAUAAGUGAUUAACUUCUUUUAGUCUAUAACUAAGGUCUGAGCCCUGAAGACCUUCCUCUGGAGUCUCAGUAAAUUUACUUAAUCUAAAUGGGUCCAGGUGCUGGAGUGAUUACCCUUAUCUUGUCUUCUGCUAAAUCAUGGAGGUUUGGGGAGUUCCUUUAGACCCCCAAUAAACUUGUUUGUAGAAGCCUGAGGAGUUUCUUCAGACCCACAAUAAAACUUGUUUAAUCCUAAAUGAAUCCUGUUAAGAAUUCCUUUGUUAUUUUGUCAUGAUUUAAGGCCCAGGAAAGGCCUAGGCAAAACUCCUGAUGGCUUUUGUUAUAUCCCCACCUUUGUAUAAGUUUACUGGCUUUUAAUAUGUAACUAAACCACUCAAUUGGUACUGAAACAGUUGUUAUGGAGGCCUGCAUUAGUGAGACCUGACCUGCCACAGGUGGAUCCCAAGUGAUCAUAAUUUUUUAAAGUUUCCAGUUUAUACCAAUAGUCUAUUAGACUAGAAAACCACUAACCUACUAAUUAUUUUAGGACAUCAUCCAACAGCUUCACCAGAUUAGAAUCUCCUUUUUUCUCUUGUACAGAAAGUUAGAUAACAGAGAAUUUUAGAAGAAUUGUGACACAUGAAGGUCCUGAGUGUUGUAAAAUAGUAAAGGAGCUAUUUAUCAAAAAAUUGUCUAGCUUUCCUUAGCUCCACUAAAGGCCAUGCUUGCUGGGGAGAAGGGUAGAUGUGCCUCAAAUCUAUAAUAGCAAAUGUCCUAUUGCUAUUCAGUUGAUCUGUACAUAGGAUUCACUCUGAUUUCUAUUUUUUCUGGAUUUUAACUUAAUUUUUCUGUUUAUGAUUUCCUCCCCUCUCCUAGGUGUGGCAUGCAUUAUUUCACUGUUUCUGAUCUCCAAAUUUCCACCUUGAGUGUAAUACCCCAUUCCUCUUUCAAAACUGCAUGCACUGUUUUCAGCUACUUAAUAUAAAUACCUCAUAUAUUCUUAUCUAAGGCCUCAGAAUUCUAAGCCUUGGUGGAAGACUUGGUGGAAACUUCUUGUUAUUGACAGCAUUAUCAUGUUCUCAUAGGAACUAUGACCAUAUCAGGGAAUAUUGACACUAAAUACAUUAUUCACCUUACAUGUUAUCUAAUGGAAGCAUUGCUUUUUAGAAUGAUCAUUUUUUUUCUUCUCCUAUGUUAUGUCUGUUUUGCUUGCUAGACUUAAAAAUAUUCAGCAUCUUAAAAAUAUUCAGCAGGCAUUAAUUUUCAUUAUUCAAUUAGAAGGUUUAUUUUCCAAAUAAAAUUUGAGCCCCAAAUUUUGGUUAUGUUGAUAAUUACUAUAUAUUACUUUGAUCAUUACCCUUUCUCCCCAAAUCUGCCUGUCAGCUAUGCACAUGCUCAAAAUCUUAUCGGAACAUUAUUAGUUCACCUGUUCACUUGAUAAUAGGAUUGCAUUAGGAAGCUAUAGAAAUCAAAGAAAGGCUUAUUCAUUCGUUCAUCAUUAUGACAUUUCACUUCAGUGUCUCAAAGCAUCUCAACUUUAAUGUGUUCCACCUUGAAUCUGUGAUUUAUAACCUUCCCUUCCUGAAAUCUUUUCUUCUGUCUCUACCUCCGUAAAUGGCAUCAACAUUUUCCCAGUUGCUCCUAUAAGAAAUACAGUAGUUAUUCUUCAUUCUCUCACACCUCAUAGUCAAUCCAUCAGACAAUCCUAUAUAUUUUACAUCCCAAUUACAUCUAAUUUCAACUACUUUCUUCAUUUUCAUGCCCAUAAAUUUUUCUUUGAUAUUGUCAUAUUUUACCUGUUAUCUAACCCCACUUAAUUUCUUGCUCUCUCUUCAUUCAUAAUCCAUUAUUUUUAUAGAAACAGGAAUGAUGUUUUAAGAUAAUAAGUAAGACUUACCUUUAUUAUUGUUUAUUUAUGUGUACUACAAUAUUGUACACAAACUAGUCCUCCUUUCAUUGCUUACUUUAUGUUGAGUCAUCCCUCACCACCCCUCACUGCAUGCCAACGAUAUUGUCUUCUGUUCUAAAAACUCAUUGAGGUCUUUGCCAAUUUAGCGCCCUAGCAAAUGCUGUUUCUUUUGCUUGAAAUGUUUUUCCCCUUUACUCUUUGUAGCCAGCUGUUUCCAUUCGUUUCAAUAAUUUCCACUUAUGUGCAUAGAAUGGAUCAGAGGAAGGACAAACUACAGGAGAAGAAAUGAUGGUUUUUCCUGUUACGGGUGUUAUUAGCAGAACAGAUUAAGAAUAUAUUCUAUAGCUAGGCUUAAUAGGACUUGAUAAGAAUUGAAGUUGUGAAAAAGAGAAAGAAAAGUAUAAGGCAUAAUUUCAGAUUUUUUGGAUGGAGUACAUUAUAACAGUCACUGAAACCAGAAGGCCUAAAGGAAAAGAUUUAGGUCAUGUUAGUGGGCACGGAGAGGCAGUAAGGAUUUUUUCCAAACUCAUUGUGAGAAAAACCAACAUUCAAUUUUGACAUAUUGGAUGUGGGAGGUGUAGGUGAUGGAGAAUUCAAAGAUGACUGCCAUGUCUGGCUUCAGUAAGAUGUCAUGUUGUGAGGAAAAUAUUGAGUUUGGAGACACUGAAGAAGCAGGUCUGAGAGGAAAUGAUAAAUCAGCCAGCUAUGAAAACUCGGAAUUACAAAGAGAAGUUAGGGUUAGCAAUAGAGCCAUAAAUUUGAGAGUUGUCAGUUUACAGAUAAUAACUGAAGCCAAGGAAAUAGGAAAUAUUAUUUAGAAUGUAAAGAAGCUUAGGAUAAAAGCAGAGAAGUAUCCAGCAAACAAGAUUAAGUUAUUACUCCAGAAAUACUAGGAUAGUGUCCCAAGGAGGCGGUAUAAAAGGAAAACAAAAAAGAAGAAAAAGUGUGGGCUUCGCUUGAAGCAAUUACACCCUAGAUAGGUAUUGAGAAUUCACCACAUAAGAGAUUUGAUGAAAGUGCUUUCUGUCUUAUAAUAUGUGACAGAUAACAUUACUUUUUAUGGGCCACAGUCUUGAUAAGCUUAGUUUGCUCUAAGUGGAAAUGCCCUACAAAUUCUGAAUUCUGGUGACCAUAUGGAGGCAAGGUAUGAUGAGCCUUAGUAGCUCAUAAAAAUGUUUAUAAAAAGAACUGGCUGCUUAAAUGAAAUACCUUAAAUAAAAAGACAGAUUUUUGGGCCAGCUUUGUGCUAGAUACUGGGCUUAAAUAAUAAGUAACUCAAACUUUCUAUUUUUCAAGAGUCUAGUUUAAUGAGAAGGGUUAGCAGAUAACGUCUAUAAACAAUGAACUAAAAAUACAAUGUAAUAACUUUUGUAAUAAAGUUUUGAACAAACAGCUAUUCAAAUAUAUAUGCUUAAUUCUGCCUAUGAUAGGGAAAAGCAAAAUUUUAUAGUAGAGAUAAUAUAUUGGCUGGCAUUCUGUGUAGUGACAUAUUGUCUUCUUUUGUGUUAAAGUGUUGCUUAACCUACAAAGAUAUUUCUUAAUCUUUGGGGGUAACACAGUCUUUUAAAAUCUGUUUAAAUAUAAUCCCUCUCUAUAGAAAGUAGACAUAUGCACCAAUUCACAAUAUUUCAAAUAUUCAAUAACUUCUUGGGCAAAUAUACUAUUUCGAAACUGAAAGUAAAUAUGAUACUACAAAAACCAAUGUGUGGUUCUAAUUAUUAACUAAUUCUAGACUUUAAGGUCUAGAAUAUCACAUAAGAAUGACAUAUGAAUGGAUACAAUUUGCACUGUUCUUUUCUACAUUUCUGAAAUUGCUUCCCUUUUAUAAUUUACACAUCUCUUCAGGUUAAUUUUCCAAUAAGACCACUUGGAAUAUAUCAUGACAUUUUUCUGUUAGAUGGAGAUAUAUCCCCAUUAUUACAUGAAGUCCAAACUUCUACAUCUUGCUUUUAUAGCUCACUAUAAUUUUCCCCUUUCCUAUAAUUCAAAGAUUAUUAAAUUAUGCUUGUGCCAAUUCAUUAUCACUUUCAUUGUAAUUCAUCAAACUGUUAUUGAGCAUGUAUUCCAUGCCAGGCAUUAUGCUGUUAUUAGAAAUUCAGUACAGAAUAAAGCAGAAAUUGUUCCUGGGCUCAGGAAAUACAUUUCUAAUGAAAGAUACACAAAGAGUAUGUUCCUGAGAUAAUCUAGGCAAAUUGUUCUUUACAUUUUCUUGAUUCUGUGGUGUCACUCUGUGGGUGAAGUGAGUCCUAACAUGGGCUCUCCCCAUGUCCUUCCUUACAUGUUUUCAAAUUCUGAGCCAUUCAAGUUUCUUCUCAAUGUUUUAGGAAGUCUUCUUUGAUUAUCCCAAGGAUCAAAGGCUUCUCUACAUCCUAGAGCCUACACUGCUAG